rnacentral:rRNA from 1 species
CCUACGGGUGGCAGCAGUAGGGAAUAUUGCUCAAUGGGCGAAACCCUGAAGCAGCAACGUCGCGUGGAGGAUGAAGGUUUUAGGAUUGUAAACCCCUUUUGUUAGAGAAGAUAAUGACGGUAUCUAACGAAUAAGUACCGGCUAACGCCGUGCCAGCAGCCGCGGUAAUACGGCGGGUGCAAGCGUUACUCGGAAUCAUUGGGCGUAAAGAGCGCGUAGGCGGGAUAGCAGGUCAGAUGUGAAAUCCUAGGGCUUAACCAUAGAACUGCAGUUGAAACUGUUAUUCUAGAGUAUGGGAGAGGUAGGUGGAAUGCUUGGUGUAGCGGUAAAAUCCGUAGAGAUCAAGAGGAAUACUCAUUGCGAAGGCGGCCUGCUAGAACAUAACUGACGCUGAUGCGCGAAAGCGUGGGGAGCAAACAGGAUUAGAUACCCGAGUAGUC